rnacentral:rRNA from 1 species
UACGUAGGGUGCAAGCGUUGUCCGGAAUUAUUGGGCGUAAAGAGCUCGUAGGCGGUUUGUCGCGUCUGCUGUGAAAUCCCGAGGCUCAACCUCGGGUCUGCAGUGGGUACGGGCAGACUAGAGUGCGGUAGGGGAGAUUGGAACUCCUGGUGUAGCGGUGGAAUGCGCAGAUAUCAGGAGGAACACCAAUAGCGAAGGCAGCUCGCUGGGACGGUACUGACGCUAAGGCGCGAAAGCGUGGGGAGCGAACAGG